rfam:Triticum urartu cultivar G1812 contig1139141, whole genome shotgun sequence.
UCGCAGCUGCGGUAUUGGCUCGGCUCACUCAGGUCAUCGUGUUGCAGAAGCAUAUGCUUCUCGGUAUAAUCUGAUUGAGCCGCGCCAAUAUCUCAGUGCCAUUU